rnacentral:rRNA from 1 species
ACCUGGUUGAUCCUGCCAGAGGCGACCGCUAUUGGAGUUCGAUUAAGCUAUGCGAGUAGAAAGAAAUUAGAUUCUUUGCAUACUGCUCAGUAACACGUGGAUAACCUGCCCUGUGCUGGAGGAUAAUCUUGGGAAACUGAGGAUAAUACUCCAUAGACCACUACGCCUGGAACGGUGAGUGGUUCAAAGCUCCGGCGGCACAGGGUGGGUCUGCGGCGUAUCAGGUUGUAGGGGGUGUAAUGGACCCCCUAGCCAUCGACGCGUACGGGUUGUGGGAGCAAUAGCCCGGAGACGGAUUCUGAGACACGAAUCCGGACCCUACGGGGUGCAGCAGGCGCGAAAACUUCACACUGCAGGCAACUGUGAUGAGGGAACUCCAAGUGACUGCACAAUGUGUAGCCUUUUCUUGACUGUUAAUAAGUCUUGGAAUAAGGGCUGGGAAAGACCGGUGCCAGCCGCCGCGGUAAUACCGGCAGCUCGAGUGGUCGUCGCUUUUAUUGGGCCUAAAACGUCCGUAGCCUGUUCAGUAAACCCGUGGGUAAAUCAACCAGCUUAACUGGUUGAAUUCUGCGGAGACUGCUGGACUAGGGACCGGGAGAGGUAUGAGGUACUCUCAG